AUACAGAGGGUGCAAGCGUUAAUCGGAAUUACUGGGCGUAAAGCGCGCGUAGGCGGUUUAAUCAGUCGGAUGUGAAAGCCCCGGGCUCAACCUGGGAACUGCAUUCGAUACUGUUAAGCUAGAGUAUGGUAGAGGGAAGUGGAAUUCCAGGUGUAGCGGUGAAAUGCGUAGAUAUCUGGAGGAACAUCAGUGGCGAAGGCGGCUUCCUGGACCAAUACUGACGCUGAGGUGCGAAAGCGUGGGGAGCAAACAGGAUUAGAAACCCUAGUAGUCC
rnacentral:rRNA from 1 species